AUGGUGCUCCAGCACCAGUUCCUCAUCUUCCUGCUGCUCUGGGCCUCAGGCAUCUCUGGGGACAUCGUGAUGAUCCAGUCUCCAGGCUCCCUGGCUGUGUCUGUAGGAGGGAGGGUUACCAUCAACUGCAAGUCCAGCCAGAGUCUUCUGCAGAGCUCCAACCAGAAGAACUACUUAGGCUGGUACCAGCAGAAACCAGGACAGGCUCCUAAACUUCUCAUCUCCUGGGCAUUCACCCGGGCAUCUGGGGUCCCUGACAGGUUCAGUGGCAGUGGGUCUGGGACAGAUUUCACUCUCACCAGCAGCAGCACACACGCUGAGGAUGUGGCAGCUUAUUACUGUAUGCAGCAUUAUAGCUAUCCUCCCACAGUGCUUCAGCCUCAAACACAAACCUCAUCUCCAGGGCGUCCCCAGGGCCACAGGCCAGUGCAUCUCUGCUGCGCCAGCUGCACCCUUCCUGCUCAGCCCUGUGUCCCCACAGCUGAAUGAGAUGCUGGUCUGGUGGCUCUAUCUUGCAACAAUAAAGAUUAGCCUGUCCUGUGUCUCUUGCACAGGGAAGUCAUUCUAGGAAGUCUCUAUAAUAACCUGUUGUGGAUCCUUCUCUCCACUGUCCCAGAUGUUUUGCAUCACGUGAAACUGUGCUGUCUCUACAGAUGAAUCUACAUUCUUGACACAGCAAUGACUUCAACUGCAUCUUGUGAAGAAGGGCUUAGUGUUCAUCACUCUGAUGGAUCAGCUGUCCCUGCUCUGUGCCUGAUGACUCUGAACUUCCCGUUUUAUUCAUUUCUCUGUCCCACAUUCUCAUGCUCAUUUCUUGGCCUUGGGAGCUUCCCAGGGUGCAAUGAUCAGUCCCUUAUUGUCAAGU